rnacentral:rRNA from 1 species
CGUUCCCGGGCUUGUACACACCGCCCGUCACGUCACGAAAGUCGGUAACACCCGAAGCCGAUGGCCCAACCCGCAAGGGAGGGAGUCGUCGAAGGUGGGACUGGCGAUUGGGACG